CCUACGGGAGGCAGCAGUGAGGAAUAUUGGUCAAUGGGCGCGAGACUGAACCAGCCAAGUAGCGUGAAGGAUGACUGUCCUACGGGUUGUAAACUUCUUUUAUCAGGGAAUAAAGUGAGGCACGUGUGCCUUUUUGUAUGUACUUUAUGAAUAAGGAUCGGCUAACUCCGUGCCAGCAGCCGCGGUAAUACGGAGGAUCCGAGCGUUAUCCGGAUUUAUUGGGUUUAAAGGGAGCGUAGGUGGGUUGUUAAGUCAGUUGUUAAAGUUUGCGGCUCAACCGGAAAAUUGCAAUUGAUACUGGCAGUCUUGAGUACAGUUGAGGUAGGCGGAAUUCGUGGUGUAGCGGUGAAAUGCUUAGAUAUCACGAAGAACUCCGAUUGCGAAGGCAGCUUACUAAACUGCCACUGACAUUGAUGCACGAAAGUGUGGGUAUCGAACAGGAUUAGAUACCCCGGUAGUC
rnacentral:rRNA from 1 species